rnacentral:rRNA from 1 species
UACAUCGGAACGUACCUUAUCGUGGGGGAUAACGCAACGAAAGCUGUGCUAUUACCGUAUACGCCCUGAGGGGGAAAGCGGGGGAUCGAAAGACAUCGAGCGAUUAGAGCGGUAGAUGCCUGAUUAUCUUGUUGGUGGGGUAAAAGCCCACCCCGGCGACCAUCACUACCUGGGCUGAGAGGACCAUCAACCAUCCAGGGAAUGAGACACGGCCCACACUCUUCACCGAGGCGGGAGUGGGGAAUUUUGGACAAUGGGGGAAACCCUGCUCCACCAAUGCCGCGAGGGUGAAGAAGGCCUUCGGGUUGUUCAGCUCUUUUGUCACGGAAGAAACGCCGGCUUCAACACCUCCCGCGAAUGACGGUCACUGAAGAAUACUGACCGGUUAACUACUUGUUAACUAGCCGCGGUAAUACGGAAGG